rnacentral:rRNA from 1 species
UACGGAGGGUGCAAGCGGUAUCCGGAUUCACUGGGUUUAAAGGGUGCGUAGGUGGGUUGGUAAGUCAGUGGUGAAAUCUCCGAGCUUAACUUGGAAACUGCCAUUGAUACUAUCAGUCUUGAAUAUUGUGGAGGUUAGCGGAAUAUGUCAUGUAGCGGUGAAAUGCUUAGAUAUGACAUAGAACACCAAUUGCGAAGGCAGCUGGCUACGCAUAUAUUGACACUGAGGCACGAAAGCGUGGGGAUCAAACAGG